AUAAAACACUGUGUUAUUUAUUUUUAAAUAUCAGAUAUGUUGACUUUUUAAGAUGAAAAUAUAUGCUUUAUAUGGGUCAGACAGAGUAACCCUAUGAAAAUCGGGAAACCCUUCGUUCUUGAUAGUAAUGAAAUAGAACACAAAUUCACAAUAUUUGUAAAAAAUUUAAUUUAAAAUUAUUGAAAAUUAAUUUGUAUUCAAAGUGAAUAAAAAUUAAUUAUAUGAUAGUUACACCACCUUUACAUUUUAGAGCCAAAACAACUUGCAGAAAAUGGUAUAAACAUUAUUAUUUAUUAUACAAAAUGUACAAAAUAAAGAUGACUGCAAAUAUUAUAUUUCUGAAAACCUGGCAUCUUGUUCCUAACUAACUUGAACCCAUAUUGAUAUUAAAAAUAUCUCCAUUUGACCAACACCUUUUCCAUUUAAUGAAAGUGAAUUAAAAUUCCAGAGAUCCAGUGUGAGACCAGAUCAAAUAUGAUCUGCAGACCACUGGAGGGCACUGUGGUUCUGUCAAGUUAACCUUCACACCUUCAGCACGGGCUUUGAGAGCUUCAGUGAAGAGACUCGUUUGUAUACUGAAGGAAUCCGCCACACAACUUCGGAAACAUAAGGUUUAAAAAGUUUGCUCUUAAAUCACAGAUGUAAUCUCAACAGCAUACGUGUGUACGAGAGGCUUACAGACGGAGUGUGUCUGGGUUACACGCGUGUGGGUCCCGAAAGAUGUCAAAGAUGCAAAUGCACAACUCAGAGCCCAUCUGCACCAAGGCAUUGUCUUCAUUCCACUGUAAAGAUGAGUUCAUGGCUGCUUGCUGUGUCAUGGCAUUUCAACACCAUCAGAAAAUCAUUACAGAUCCAAGAGAAGCAAAGAUAGACAUGUCAGAUGUAAGACAAGCAUUAUGUCCCUCAGGUAACAUCUGCAACAUAUCUGCAUUCAUGCAUUAUGAACAACUAGACAGAGCAUAAUGGACAUUUAUAGGCGCAUUAACUCUCAUACACUAUCUAGAGAUGCUUAUACCACACCAGAUUCAUCUGAUUGGUCCAUUGUUGUACAACCAAUACUGAUCUGCAGUUUUUCAUUAGUUAAAAAAAAUUAAAUAAAUAAUAAUAAAAAUAUUGACCCA
ensembl:lncRNA